rnacentral:rRNA from 1 species
GACUACAUGAAGCUGGAAUCGCUAGUAAUCGUAGAUCAGCAUGCUACGGUGAAUACGUUCCCGGGUCUUGUACACACCGCCCGUCACACCACGAGAGUUUGUAACACCCGAAGCCGGUGGAGUAACCUUUUAGGAGCUAGCCGUCGAAGGUGGGACAAAUGAUUGGGGUGAAGUCGUAACAAGGUAGCCGUAUCGGAAGGUGCGGCUGGAUCACCUCCUUUCUAA